rnacentral:rRNA from 1 species
CAAACGGGUGAGUAACACGUGGGAAUCUACCCAUCAGUACGGAAUAACAUUUGGAAACAAAUGCUAAUACCGUAUAUUCUCGUAAGAGGAAAGAUUUAUCGCUGAUGGAUGAGCCCGCGCCUGAUUAGGUAGUUGGUGGGGUAAUGGCCUACCAAGCCUUCGAUCAGUAGCUGGUCUGAGAGGAUGAUCAGCCACACUGGGACUGAGACACGGCCCAG